CCUACGGGGUGCAGCAGUGAGGAAUAUUGGUCAAUGGACGAGAGUCUGAACCAGCCAAGUAGCGUGAAGGAUGACUGCCCUAUGGGUUGUAAACUUCUUUUAUAUGGGAAUAAAAUCUUCCACGUGUGGGAUUUUGUAUGUACCAUAUGAAUAAGGAUCGGCUAACUCCGUGCCAGCAGCCGCGGUAAUACGGAGGAUCCGAGCGUUAUCCGGAUUUAUUGGGUUUAAAGGGAGCGUAGGUGGAUUGUUAAGUCAGUUGUGAAAGUUUGCGGCUCAACCGUAAAAUUGCAGUUGAAACUGGCAGUCUUGAGUACAGUAGAGGUGGGCGGAAUUCGUGGUGUAGCGGUGAAAUGCUUAGAUAUCACGAAGAACUCCGAUUGCGAAGGCAGUUCACUGGACUGCAACUGACACUGAGGCUCGAAAGUGUGGGUAUCAAACAGGAUUAGAUACCCGUGUAGUC
rnacentral:rRNA from 1 species